rnacentral:rRNA from 1 species
AUUGAACGCUGGCGGCAGGCCUAACACAUGCAAGUCGAACGAGUGGCGGACGGGUGAGUAAUGUAUGGGAAACUGCCUGGUGGAGGGGGAUAACUACUGGAAAAGGUAGCUAAUACCGCAUACCAUCGGAUGUGCCCAGAUGGGAUUAGCUAGUAGGUGGGGUAAAGGCUCACCUAGGCCACGCUCCCUAGCUGGUCUGAGAGGAUGACCAGCCACACGGGAACUUAGACACGGGCCAGACUCCUACGGGAGGCAGCAGUGGGGAAUAUUGCACAAGGGGCGAAAGCCUGAUGCAGCCAUGCCGCGUGUAUGAAGAAGGCCUUCGGGUUGUAAAGUACUUUCAGCGGGGAGGCGUUACCUGCAGAAUAAGCACCGGCUAACUCCGUGCCAGCCGCCGCGGUAAUAC